AUUGAACGCUGGCGGCAUGCCUUACACAUGCAAGUCGAACGGCAGCACGGGUGCUUGCACCUGGUGGCGAGUGGCGAACGGGUGAGUAAUACAUCGGAACAUGUCCUGUAGUGGGGGAUAGCCCGGCGAAAGCCGGAUUAAUACCGCAUACGAUCCACGGAUGAAAGCGGGGGACCUUCGGGCCUCGCGCUAUAGGGUUGGCCGAUGGCUGAUUAGCUAGUUGGUGGGGUAAAGGCCUACCAAGGCGACGAUCAGUAGCUGGUCUGAGAGGACGACCAGCCACACUGGGACUGAGACACGGCCCAGACUACUACGGGAGGCAGCAGUGGGGAAUUUUGGACAAUGGGCGAAAGCCUGAUCCAGCAAUGCCGCGUGUGUGAAGAAGGCCUUCGGGUUGUAAAGCACGUUUGUCCGGAAAGAAAUCCUUGACUCUAAUACAGUCGGGGGAUGACGGUACCGGAAGAAUAAGCACCGGCUAACUACGUG
rnacentral:rRNA from 1 species